CUCAUGUGUACAGCCCAAAGGUUGUUACUUCUGAACAAAUUCUGUUCAGCUGGGAUUUCCAAGUGCUACAUUAUAUUUUAAUAUGUACUUUAAUAUUAUUUUGAAGUUCUUUGGGUAAUUGCAUCUUCAACUAAUUGCAUCAUGGAUUUAUGAUACAGUUUAUGUGGUGCUUGUUCCUCACAACUGCCUCCUCAGCUAGGAAUCAUUUUGCUCUUCUCGAAUUGAGUAGAAAUAUUGUUUGGUAAAACUUCCUUCCCCAUCCAGUUCUUAAGAAAACAAAACCUUCACUUUGAUUUUGUGCAUUUAUAGUCAAAGACUUUCCAAGUAAAGAGCAUUGAUCUGAAAAAUGCUUACAGCAGCACUCAUCAUUUUCGAACUACUUCAGUACAUAGACUAAAACAGAGGCUUAAUGUAUUGGGUAUUGCGUGUAUCCUGUUUUUAUGUGUUUUACUUCCUUGAGUUAAACUCAUGAGAUUAUCUUUUAGAAAUCUAUUGCAUUAAAUGCCAUUCUGCAGCCUUAACUGAACCUAUCAAUGACUAACAGUUUUUUUUUCUUUCUUUCUUUUUUUUUUCUAAAUAGACAAAUCCAGCUAGACACUAACUGUGAAGUAGAUCUGCUCAGCCUGUGUGUGUGUAUAAGCUUCUUAGAAUUUGCUGCUGUUUUCAUUCCUGUUAUUUGUGCAUCUUUUGUGGAUAUGUGGAUAUGCUUGUAAAUCUGUUUUCUGGAUUGUUUGGGAGGUUGGAAGGUGAUCCUAAGUGUGUCCAAGGAAGGAAAGCAUUACAGUGAGCAGAGAUGAAUACAGAUACAAAUGUCCCAUCGACUGCUUAGAAGCCAUACUAUUUGACAGCAUUUGGUUGAGGUUUUCCAUAUGUCAACGUAGUAGAAACUACAGAUUUCAAAAUUGAAUUUUUGUGAAAGUUGAAAGAAUUUUCUGUAGUAUUUUAAAGGAUUUUGAGGACACACUGUUGGGAUCUAAUUUGUACAUUCUCAGAAUGAGAAUAUGCUUAACUCUGGCUACAGCAAAGCAUUUAUGAAAACGUUCUCUUGCUAAUACAGAUCUUCUAGUUCUUUGACACACCUGCACCAUUUUUAAACAUGUCCAAGGAACUAGGUAAAUACAGAGACUAUUUGGCCAGACCCAGCUUUGUCUGCUACUGAGAUUCUGCUGCCAGCUACAGCCAGGUGGUAAAUUCAAGCCCAGCUUAAGGAUAUUUUUUUAAGAUGCAGUCAGUUCAGCAAAGACCACCUGGGAGCGGAGCAGAGAUUGCUGUUUAAGGAAUUGAGCUGACGUAACAGCUCCAGUAUAUCUCCCAGUAAUUGAACUGGAAAUGCUGUCCUCUGCUUUUAGGAUUUACAGAAGGUUGGUCUGCUUUGACCUGACGGCAAUUUUAAAUAGUAUGGUUAAGUUUUUUCAGUUUCCACAACCAACUGAACACAGUCAUGUGGCACGGACCACAGCCAGUGCCUUUGACCACCUGCGUAUGUGACCAGUUGCCCAUUGAUUAGGGGCUGACUUACAUAGAAUUUUAGUCUCAUUCCUGUAAGUUCCACAAUAAGCUUGACUAUGUGUGACCAUGUGUAAACAAGUGUAUAUAGGCGUCUGAUUUUAGCAAAGACAUCCUUGAACUUCAGUAUUUAACUUGAAGUCAGCCCUGGUUUUAAGUAUGGUGAGGUUGAACCCUCUUCUCCUUCUCUAGUCUGCUCCCCUUGAA
ensembl:lncRNA